rnacentral:tRNA from 1 species
GCGGGUGUAGUUAAAUGGCUUAAUGCUACCUUCCCAAGGUAGAGAAGGCGGUUCGACUCCGCUCACCCGCU